CCAUCGAAAGGUGGAUUAAUACUCCAUAUUAUAUUGAAGUGGCAUCACUUUAAUAUUAAAGCUCCGGCGGUAAGAGAUGGGCGUGCGUCUGAUUAGGUAGUUGGCGGGGUAACGGCCCACCAAGCCUACGAUCAGUAGCUGAUGUGAGAGCAUGAUCAGCCACACGGGCACUGAGACACGGGCCCGACUCCUACGGGAGGCAGCAGUAAGGAAUAUUGGUCAAUGGACGCAAGUCUGAACCAGCCAUGCCGCGUGGAGGAUGACGGUCCUCUGGAUUGUAAACUUCUUUUCUCUGGGACGAAACCCUCGAUUUCCAUCGAGCCUGACGGUACCAGAGGAAUAAGCACCGGCUAACUCCGUGCCAGCAGCCGCGGUAAUACGGAGGGUGCAAGCGUUAUCCGGAUUCACUGGGUUUAAAGGGUGCGUAGGUGGGCAGGUAAGUCAGUGGUGAAAUCUCUGGGCUUAACCCGGAAACUGCCAUUGAUACUAUUUGUCUUGAAUUCUCUGGAGGUAAGCGGAAUAUGUCAUGUAGCGGUGAAAUGCUUAGAUAUGACAUAGAACACCCAUUGCGAAGGCAGCUUACUACGGAGAUAUUGACACUGAG
rnacentral:rRNA from 1 species